CUGUGAUAAGGGGUGAAAGGCUAAACAAACCUGGAAAUAGCUGGCACUCCCCGAAAUGCCUUGAGGGACAGCCUCAUACGCCUAUCAUGGAGGUAGAGCACUGUUUGGACUAGGGGUCUUCACCGGCUACCAAACCCAGGCAAACUGCGAAUGCCGUGACAGAAGGUAUGGGAGUGAGACGGCGGGCGAUAAAGUUCGUCGUCGAGAGGGGAACAGCCCGGACCGACAGCUAAGGUCCCUAAAUGCCGCUGAGUGUGAAAUGAGGUGCUAUUGCGAAGACAGCCAGGAGGUUGGCUUAGAAGCAGCAAUUCCUUAAAAGAGUGCGUAACAGCUCACUGGUCGAGCAAUGGUGCGCAGACAAUGUAACGGGGCUAAGCGGUAUACCGAAGCUUUGGAUUCAUACUUUUAGGGUAUGGAUGGUAGGGGAGCAUUCCAUGGACCGGAGAAGGUACACUGAGAGGUGUGCUGGAGGGGAUGGAAGAGAGAAUGCAGGUAUAAGUACACGAAAAGACGGGUGAGAUUCCCGUCCGCCGAAAACCUAAGGUUUCCUGGGUAAAGGUCAUCUGCCCAGGGUUAGUCGGUCUCUAAGAUGAGGCGGAAGCGCGUAGUCGAUGAGAAUCCGGUUCAUAUUCCGGAACCAUAUAUAAGUUCGAAGGGAUGACGCAUGAGGUGGAGCACUGCCGGCUGACGGAAUAGCCGGUUGACCUAGCGAGCUUAAGAGGUAGCGAGGCAAAUCCAGCUACUGAGGUGAGCUAGGGAGGGAGGGAAGCUACGGUGGAACGAAGUGUGCCGAAUCAAGGUGCCAAGAAAGAGUCUCUAAGGCUAACUUAUAUAUGACCGUACCGUAAACGGACACACGUAGGUAGGAUGAGAAAUCUAAGGCGCUCGAGAGAACUCGCGUUAAGGAACUCGGCAAAAUGCACACGUAACUUAGGGAGAAGUGUGGCCUAUUGAGAGAUAGGUUGCAGAAAAUAGGCCCAGGCGACUGUUUACCAAAAACACAGGACUCUGCGAACGCGCAAGCGGAAGUAUAGGGUCUGACGCCUGCCCGGUGCUGGAAGGUUAAGAGGAGGGGUUAGCAGGUAACUGCGAAGCUCUGAAUUGAAGCCCCAGUAAACGGCGGCCGUAACUAUAACGGUCCUAAGGUAGCGAAAUUCCUUGUCGGGUAAGUUCCGACCCGCACGAAUGGUGGAACGAUCUGGGCACUGUCUCGACGCGAGACUCGGUGAAAUUUAAGUACCGGUAAAGAUGCCGGUUACCCGUGGUUAGACGGAAAGACCCCAUGAACCUUUACUGUAGCUUAUCAUUGGGACUUGGCUUUACAUGUGUAGGAUAGGUGGGAGACUGGGAAGCAUGGCCGCUAGGCUGUGUGGAGUCGACGGUGAAAUACCACCCUUGUAAGGCUAGGUUUCUAACUUAGUUUGUAAAGCCAGGCUAGGGACAGUGGUAGGUGGGCAGUUUGACUGGGGCGGUCGCCUCCUAAAAGGUAACGGAGGUGCGCGAAGGUUGCCUUGCGCUGGGUGGAAAUCAGCGCUUAAAGUGUAAAGGCAUAAGGCAGCUUGACUGCGAGUCCGACAGGACGAGCAGGUACGAAAGUAGGUCUUAGUGAUCUGGCGGUAGCGAGUGGAAGCGCCGUCACUUAACGGAUAAAAGGUACUCUGGGGAUAACAGGCUGAUCUUGCCCAAGAGUUCA
rnacentral:rRNA from 1 species